rnacentral:miRNA from 1 species
CGCGCGGCUAUACUAUUAAAAUA